rnacentral:lncRNA from 1 species
GAUCACUGCAGGCCUCCUCAUAAGCAGGACACAAACAGACUACCAACCGGUGAAAACUCAGCCCCAAACCAAGUACAAGCUAUACUCCACCCAGUUAAAGCUGUUUCGGUGAGGAUGGACGAGAGGGAGGCGGUGGUAAGUGAAGAACAUAUCAGUGUGGUGUCGGUGUGGGUCCGGUACUGAGACAGGGGCAAGGAGGUUCUACUUGCUUACUUGUGUAGAAGUCUCUGGAAGUAAUUUUCAAAUAAAAGCAGAACCUGAAAAGGAUGAGGCUCAAUUCAACCCUGGAGGCGGGGUGUCUAGACUUCCUGGAAGGGACACUUAGAGCUGCUACUCUACAGAGCAUAGGCAUAGCCUGUUUCCUCUGGCAGCCUCAGAUAGAUCUUCAGAACAAAGACAGUGAUUUGAGGCCAUGUAAGUGAAUCAGAGUUAUAGUUUUCCCUCCAACUUAGCCCUCCAAGGCACAGCUGUUACUUGAGUUGGAUUUGUGACCUCACUAGUCCUCGCUCUCACCCUUUUCCUGUAUGCUGAAGUGCUUAGCAAUAAUAUAUUUGUUAAGCUGUUCUUUGUUGCUCAGAAUAUUUUUCAUCAGUCUGUAACCAGAGGAUAUCAAAUAAACGGUCCAAAUGGUCUCUGAUAGAAGCUUUGGCACAGGCUUGAGAAGAAAAUCUGUAGCUCUACCAAUUCAUUCUUAUGACCACAUCAAGAACAAGGUAUCAAGUGAGGUCAAUACUGUUUUAUUAUUACUCUUAAUUUCUGGUGAAAUGUUUGCUGGUUAGUUUUUUUUGUCAUCUGAAAAGAAGAAACUUCACUUGAGAAAAUGCUUCUGUCAGAUUGAUCUCUAAGCAAAUCUGUGGGCAUUUUCUUGACUAAUGAUAGACGCGUGAGGGCUCAUCCACUGUGGGUGGUAGUACCCUUGAGUUGAUGGCCCUUGUUUGUAUAAGACAGCAGACUGCGUAAGCCAUGGAGAGCACGCCAAUAAGCAGAGUCCCUUCAUGGUCCCCACCUCGGUGCCUGCCUCCAGUGCUUGUGCGGACUCCCCCGAUGAUGGAUUGUGGUCUUUAUCACAGCAAUGGAAAGUAAACUAGGACACAAUGUUUAUUUUCUACCAUGGCAGCCAACCAUUUAUAUCAAGUGAAAAGCCUCCAAAGUUUCAGCAGAGGAGACAGAAAGCAAAGGAGGGAUACUCAGCUGUUUUUAAUAACUAAUUGCUUAUUUGAAUGCACUAUAAGCCAAGCCAGACAAUGCUCAUGGGAGUUUGGGUUCAGAAGCAUCAAAGUCUAUAAUGUAUUUAGCUGCAUUUCUCACUUCUUUCAAAUAUGUGAAGGCAUUUUAAUUGUGAUGAGAUCAGCAAGGCUAUUCAUGUCACAGCCAAGCCCCAAACCAGAGACCAUGAAGAUGUACCUUGAAAUUAUAACAUAACAGUGCAUAUUAUGGAAUGGAACUGACAAAUCUGAAGGCUGCCUUUCAACUAAGUUAAAUUAGCUCUCGUGUUUAAUAUUGUCUUAUUGAAGAUAAAAGAAUCUCAGAUGUAAUUUUACAAUUCAUUUAAUCUCUGAAUCACAAAUUGAGAAUAAACAAAUACUAUAUUUUUAGAAGAAAAAUAGACAAAAGUGUAGCCAGGAUGGUAAAACAGGUGUUUGGUGUGGAACAAAGGAAAAUCUGUGCUUUGAGGAGAGGGAGGGAAACCUGGAAACCAGCAAGGAAGCUGGGCAGCUGAAGACUGAGUCAGAAAGGUGACUCAGGUAACAGCAACACAGAUGGCAAGCUCUGCAGUCUCCCUGCCGAGGCACCCUCAUGGUAUGUAUGCAGUCUGUCUCCCUGCUGAGACUCCCUCAUGGUAUUCAGGUACCUGCAGCACACACUUAGCAUCUAGCCAGCAGUCCCAGCACAGACUCCACAGUUUUAGAACACUUAAAUCCAGUCUGGGUGUUGGCUGCUUUAGGGACCUCUCUGUUCCAAAGAAGGAAUUACCUGAUGUCAUCUUGCCUGACCCAACCAGCAGCUUUCUCCAGUGGACUUCACUGGACUAAAGGACAGCCAUCUCGGCAUCCUGCAGUUUUAGCAUAAGAGGAUGCCUCUACUACAUGUCCAAGUCCAGCAUGAGCUGGACCUGCAGGUAUUAGGAGAGGUUUCUUUCCUACCUCCACACUGCAGCUCCUAAUGCAAAUCCCAGCAUUUCCUCACAGGUCAUUCCAGAGACUGGAAAGAUACAUCGCUACUCUAAAACUUUAGUAAACUGGCCAUCAGAGGCCCCGUCAGCCCUUGGCACCAUCAGAACACACAAUGGGGAAUGGGAAAGCUUUCUGUCCUAGUCUAUGGCCUGCAGAUUAAACUUAGUACAGAGAGGCUUGACUCAAGAUUGUCCAUUGGACCAAGGGGAAGGUCCCUUUUAUCUAUAGCAGGUCCUGGACUGCAUCAACAAAUGCCACAUGUCUCAUUCUUACUGAAAUUUCCUGAGGAUAUUUCCAUCCAUACAGAAGGCAGAUAUCACAGCUACAAGCCCCAUCACCACUUAUACUAACCUACACAAAAUAGAAAAAGUCUCCUCUACAUCCUAUAACUCAAAGAGGGCGGAGACCAGUGCCACAAAUUCAAAUGUUCCAUGCCCCUUCCUCUACAGUACACAGAACUGAGACCAUUUAUGCUGAUGUUUUGGGAUCUGGUGAAAGCAUCAGCUAUGGCUCUAAUCUCUAUAAAACCAGCUAACAGUGCUGUGAGACCAAGCACCAAAUGGGGAUUGCCUCAUGGGACCUAAGUAUCAUAGAGUUUAGGUUCCACAAUGUUGAGUUCAAGGUUACUAUUACCACAGAAGUCAGCAUGACCUGUACUCAUCCUAGAUGUCAGAGAGAAAGUUCUACACUAUUCUCUAAGAAUAUGGCUCUAAGGAAUGGUUGCUGAUGUCAGAGGCCCAGGUAUCUCCUGCAUUUAUCCUGAAGGUCCUGGAGAAUGUCUUCACUUUCUAUAGAUCAGGAACUAUGGUAGGUGUUAUUAGAAACUAUAGCAUUGCUCUUCUUGUACUGAGGGACCAAGGGAUAGUUCUCUCCAUAUUCUGCAUCAUCAACACUACAAAUACAACUGCAAGCACUGGUGCCACCAGGGCUCAAGUAUGUAUUGCUAAUGGACAUGUCACUUUGCUUAUGUCCACUGAAAACCUAUGACAAUUUUGGGAUCAUUGCAUUCUAGACACUUGACACCAAAGCUGAAGAAACUGAGAGAUGUGCUAGUGAGCUGCCUAUAACUGAACCCGAUGCACCUACCAACUGAUAGAUCCAUACAAACAAAACCUUUCGUACAAAAGCUACUUCAUAAAAUAGUCAGAGUAAGUAAAUAUUACACCAAAUAUGUAGACAUCAGUUCGAGGAGAGAGCAUCAGAGGAAGCCUAAUGCCCUUAACGAAAACAAUCUUUCAGAAAAAGAUCUCAGAGAAAAAGCUAAGGAUGCCUGAAAAAAAAUGUAAAGCAAUGAUUUGAACUUAGUGACAUACAAAGCAAAACACAUGAAUGAUACAAAGAAAUGAGAAAAACAAUUCAAGGUACAAGUGAGAAAUUCACCAAAGACACAGAAUCUGUACAACAAACAAACAAAAAACAAAGACUGAUCUUCGAACUAAAACCC